AAACCCUAUCAACUUUAACGUUAACCUUACACCAGAACAUUCCAGGAAAGAUUAAAAAAGAGAGAAGGAACUCGGCAAAUUUUAGCCCCGCCUGUUUACCAAAAACAUCACCUCUUGACAUAAUAUAAGAGGCCCAGCCUGCCCGGUGACAAAGUUUAACGGCUACGGUACCCUGACCGUACGAAGGUAGCAUAAUCACUUGUUCCUUAAAUAGGGACCUGUAUCAACGGCAUCACGAGGGCUGCACUGUCUCCUCUCUUCAAUCAGUGAAACUGAUCCCCCCGUGAAGAAGCGGGGAUUAAGCUAUAAGACGAGAAGACCCCAUGGAGCUUUAAACACGUACUCACACUAUACUUACAUGCCCCUUAACUAAAAGCCCUGAGUACAAGUUUUAGGUUGGGGAGACCGCGGAGAACAACUAAACCUCCACGACAAACGGCCCUUAAGUCCUUAUCUACGAGCCACAGCUCUAAGAAUCAAUAUACUGAUGAUUAUGACCCCGAUACUAUUCGAUUAACGAACCA
rnacentral:rRNA from 1 species